rnacentral:rRNA from 1 species
UACGUAGGGGCCUAGCGUUGUCCGGAUUUAUUGGGCGUAAAGAGCUCGUAGGCGGUUCGGUAAGUCAGGUGUGAAAUCUCCACGCUCAACUUGGAGACGCCACCCGAUACUGCUCUGACUUGAGUUCGGUAGGGGAGUGGGGAAUUCCUGGUGUAGCGGUGAAAUGCGCAGAUAUCAGGAGGAACACCGGUGGCGAAGGCGCCACUCUGGGCCGAAACUGACGCUGAGGAGCGAAAGCGUGGGUAGCAAACAGG